rnacentral:rRNA from 1 species
UACCAGCACCCCGAGUGGUCGGGACGUUUAUUGGGCGUAAAGAGCUCGUAGGUGGUGUGUCGCGUCUGCCGUGAAAGCCCGGGGCUUAACUCCGGGUCUGCGGUGGAUACGGGCAGACUAGAGGCAGGUAGGGGAGAACGGAAUUCCCGGUGUAGCGGUGAAAUGCGCAGAUAUCGGGAGGAACACCGGUGGCGAAGGCGGUUCUCUGGGCCUGUACUGACGCUGAGGAGCGAAAGCGUGGGGAGCGAACAGG